CGGGUGAGUAACACGUGGGUAACCUGCCCAUCAGAAGGGGAUAACACUUGGAAACAGGUGCUAAUACCGUAUAACAAUCGAAACCGCAUGGUUUUGAUUUGAAAGGCGCUUUCGGGUGUCGCUGAUGGAUGGACCCGCGGUGCAUUAGCUAGUUGGUGAGGUAACGGCUCACCAAGGCCACGAUGCAUAGCCGACCUGAGAGGGUGAUCGGCCACAUUGGGACUGAGACACGGCCCAAACUCCUACGGGAGGCAGCAGUAGGGAAUCUUCGGCAAUGGACGAAAGUCUGACCGAGCAACGCCGCGUGAGUGAAGAAGGUUUUCGGAUCGUAAAACUCUGUUGUUAGAGAAGAACAAGGAUGAGAGUAACUGUUCAUCCCUUGACGGUAUCUAACCAGAAAGCCACGGCUAACUACGUGCCAGCAGCCGCGGUAAUACGUAGGUGGCAAGCGUUGUCCGGAUUUAUUGGGCGUAAAGCGAGCGCAGGCGGUUUCUUAAGUCUGAUGUGAAAGCCCCCGGCUCAACCGGGGAGGGUCAUUGGAAACUGGGAGACUUGAGUGCAGAAGAGGAGAGUGGAAUUCCAUGUGUAGCGGUGAAAUGCGUAGAUAUAUGGAGGAACACCAGUGGCGAAGGCGGCUCUCUGGUCUGUAACUGACGCUGAGGCUCGAAAGCGUGGGGAGCAAACAGGAUUAGAUACCCUGGUAGUCCACGCCGUAAACGAUGAGUGCUAAGUGUUGGAGGGUUUCCGCCCUUCAGUGCUGCAGCUAACGCAUUAAGCACUCCGCCUGGGGAGUACGACCGCAAGGUUGAAACUCAAAGGAAUUGACGGGGGCCCGCACAAGCGGUGGAGCAUGUGGUUUAAUUCGAAGCAACGCGAAGAACCUUACCAGGUCUUGACAUCCUUUGACCACUCUAGAGAUAGAGCUUCCCCUUCGGGGGCAAAGUGACAGGUGGUGCAUGGUUGUCGUCAGCUCGUGUCGUGAGAUGUUGGGUUAAGUCCCGCAACGAGCGCAACCCUUAUUGUUAGUUGCCAUCAUUCAGUUGGGCACUCUAGCAAGACUGCCGGUGACAAACCGGAGGAAGGUGGGGAUGACGUCAAAUCAUCAUGCCCCUUAUGACCUGGGCUACACACGUGCUACAAUGGGAAGUACAACGAGUUGCGAAGUCGCGAGGCUAAGCUAAUCUCUUAAAGCUUCUCUCAGUUCGGAUUGCAGGCUGCAACUCGCCUGCAUGAAGCCGGAAUCGCUAGUAAUCGCGGAUCAGCAC
rnacentral:rRNA from 1 species